rnacentral:lncRNA from 1 species
UGAUCAUUUAAAAACCACAAAGUUUAAACUGAAGUAGGUGGACGUUUACCUUUAUUUCGUUGUUCUUUAUCCUCGGUCAGGGGUAAAUACUAACAAGAUCAAAGAGAAUUUUAUUUCGGUUAUCAAUAUGUUAUCUUAAUGCACGAAACAUAUUGUUGUCAACUUUAUAGUAGCCGUCCGGAAACGUAAAAACAAUGAAUGCACAGGAAGACUGCUAGUCAUGGAACAGGGAAGUUCUCCAACAUUACUGGAAGAUUAUACACACAAUAGGGAUUAUAUAUAAACUUCCUCUCUGUACUUGAGGUCCACAUUUACUGUAUCUAAAUAAAGCGGAAGUAUACUUGUAUUGUGGGACCUGUAUCAGUGUAUAUAUCCUGUUUGUCGUUUGUAUGCUUCAUGAGGUUUACAGACAAGUGUACGCCAUUAUAUUUAGUUAGUAUAUGUCGCUUCAAUAUUUAAAUCAGUCCAGUGCACUAUCAGGUGGUUGACACUGAUUGUUUCAUCGCAAUAUGGCAUACUACAUCUCCUUAUUAAUCUUAUGUCAUGUCAUAUGACUUGAAGGACAUGUGGUGUAUAAGUCAGCGACACAGUAACCCAACGACAAAACUAACUGACAAGCUCAAAUUCUACCGAACCGGUUUUUAAAAUUAUACAAACUAUCAAACAUUUGCCAUCGACACAAAAAUCCCAAAUAUUAAAAAAAAAUUAUGAAAAAAUAAAAAAAUACAGAAAAUGCCACAAACAAUAAAAAAAACCCCGCCAAGAUGAUACAUUAUACAACCAC